rnacentral:lncRNA from 1 species
GCAAGUCAUCUAGGAAAACCAGGAAAUGAGAACAUCAGAGUUGCUCAGAAACCAUACACAGAGGAUUUAAGGGGAUUUCUAUGAAUGACAGCUGAAUAUGGUAUAAAAUGAUGGCUAAGCUACCUACACAAAUACAGAUACAGCCUAGUAUGAUCAGGGUAAAAUAAUGCUGAGACUCUUAUGGGUUAUCCCACCCCUUUCAGGUCCUGCAGAAGUGUCACAAUUAUGUAGUCUUAUCUCAAUCAGCAGACUAACCUUCAUGCCAACCCCAUAAAAGGUCACACCUGACUCCCUUUGUUCUUAGUUCUGCCUCGAGUCCUUACACUGACCCAACACCCCUUCACCUUCCAGUUCUGUUCCUCAUGUUUCUGACCUCUGACCUUGUGACUCCUUUUCCGAUGAUAGUUCCAACUGUUUCCAGACUUAACCUCAGCAUUGCUGCCAAUGGUAUUUUUGUUUUGUUUUGUUCGUUACCGAGAGAUGGAUUUCUUCUUUGUCUCAGCUGCCAUGAGUUACUCUGUAAAUAACCUGAAUGAUCCAGCCAAAAUUUGAGACCUUGUCUAUCACCACAUACCCUUGAAGACAGGUGUACAUGAUAUUUUCAGAGGAACCAGAUCAUGAGAGAACACUCAAAUUGGAGACAAUUUCUGGGUAGAACUUCUAACUUCAAACCUGAGCCCCACAUUUAUUAUAGUGAUAAGGAUAUGGUAAAGACACCUUUCAAUAUGGUAAAAUUUCUACAUGUCUGUUCUCACAGGAAGGUCCAAAGCUCAUUUAGCUCUUCAAAUUAAUACAUAAUCUAUGAUCAUUUUGCUCCUCAUAUCUGGAUGGGAAAGAUGUUUAAUGGAUAAAUAAGAAGGUUUCUGUUUGUUGGUCUCUUUAUACAUCAUAGGAAAGGGUGCUUUUUUACUCCAACUCAAUCUUUUCUUGGUAUUGUUAUCAAUCAUGUUUGGAUCCCCCAACUUCAUAUUCUUGAAACUUUUUAAAAAUACCUUCUUGAGAAUUUGGAUGAGAGGCAAAAGUCAAGUGUGGGGAAGUCAAGAUCUAUCUCAGACCAAGUGUUGGUGUCAAUCAUCAUAAGACUUUUGAGGUUGUUUGAUUUCAUUCCUUCCAGAAAAGCCACUGUUUCCAUUCAAAUUCCUGCCAGCCAGUUUUUUAGCCUCUGCUUGCACUUUACAAGUAUCAUUUUUCUAGAUUAUAAUUCACUUUUCACAUUCACCAUGGAGUAAAUGGUAGAGAAAAGAGAUGGGAAAGAUCACAUGCUUCAGUCCUGAAACAUGAUCAACCACGGAAACCCAGGGGCCUUAUUGAUUUAGUAUUAGUUUGAGGGGAGGGACCUUACUGGGUGUGUCUUUAACACAGAUAUUUUAAGUGUGACAAAAAGAUCUUGGAAUGGACAAAAUGUAAUAUCUAUAAAUUGUUGAUUAUGGUUUACUGUGUCAAGCACUGUGCUAGGUACAUAUGGCAUGCAUUGACUCAUUUAUUCUUGAUAAUUCUGUGUUUAUCCAUCUUGCAAAUGAAAAAGCAGUUUCUUAUACAUAAUGCACUUGCUCAAGGUUACCAAGCCAGUAAUGGAUAGUCCCAUGUUCUUUAAACUCAACACCAAGCUCGUGCUCUCUCUCUGGAGCGAUAGUAGAUAAAAUCUCUCAUCUACUAGCCUUAAGACCGCUGAAUGGAACUGGAGUUUACAUGAUUUCCUUGAAUACAAGCAUCUGCUCCAAUGGCUUCUAAAUAAUUUACUCCCCAAAUUACACAUUUUUCAUUGCCUAAGAUCAUCGAAUUCUCAAAAUUUAGACCCAAAGUUCCACUGAAACCACAGAAUCUUAUCUGUUGACUGCUCAUGUUUUCUUAAUCCUACUGAAUACUAUUCUGACCUCCAAUUCCUUGAAAUCCCUCGUUUUCUUUUCACCUAUGCCCUUAUGUAUCUUCACUUUCUUUUCUACUGAAGUUGAAUCCACUCACCCAUCUCCACAUGUGCUCUUUCACCAAAAACUUUUCUGUGGUAUCCCUCUGCCUCUCUAUUUUGCCAGUUCAGUUCUCAAUUAAUCACUGCUUUGUUUCUUCCAAACUCUAAUUAUUGUUAUUGGUUCCUUAUUCCAAGCUUGCCUUAUUCUUAGUAGAAGAGCUUGUUUCCUAAUUUCCAGAGAAAAUAGAAGACUAAGGCCCUUCCCCCAUGUACUUGUGUCAGUCACCCUAAGUAUCUACAAGACUCACUCCCUCACCUCUUUUAAGACAUGUCUUCCCCCCGCCCAAUUCCAACCACCCUAUUUAAAUUAAAAGCAUCUUCUUCCUCGGCUGACUUGGUCCUCAGGUUUCUUCUUAAAGCAAUCACUUUCUAACACACUCUCUCAUAUAUAUAUAUAAAUAAACAUAUAUAUAAUGUUUAUUGUUAUUGUUUAUCUCCACCAGGUAGAAUAUAAGCUCCCCUGGAAGCUUUGUCUAUUUAGUACACUGAUGUACUUCAAGCACCUAAAACAGUACCUGGCUUGUGGUAGGGACCAGUAAAUAUUUGUUGGGUGAAUGAACAAAUAUGCACAAAUAUUUUGGUCCCUCACUUUCUUCCCUCUCAUAGGAAGAGGUUACUUUACCCAUCUCUAUGUAUGACAAAUCUGGAUAACUGCUACUGCAGAAAAGAUCGGGAAGAUGAUAUAAUUUGCUUGUUUACAUCUAAAUUAUGACUUUAUAAGAGAGCACUAAGGUUGCAUACUUGACAUCCAGUACAAGGAAUUUUCCCCUGUCAUUCCUUUUUCUACCUAACUAGGUCAAGGGCAGCAAAUGCAUUUGCUGACUCCCUCACCUCUGAUUAUCUCUCCGUAAAUCUGGACCAAACACAUAUCACUGCUGUACUCAAUCUCUGUCACUAAAUACACUUCCAAAACAACUGGCCUCCAGGUUGACCCAAAGGAACUGAUUUCUGCUGUAUUUCAUUUUCUGUGAUAGCUUUGGCCAAUGUCUUUUGUCAAUACAAGUGAAUUUUGUGCUGAUUAUAGUCUACCAGAGACUUCAUUGACACCAGCAAGUACAUUUCUCUUUGGAACACAAGUCAAACUUGUGUUAAAGUCCCCAGUGAACAAGAAUAGUUGAGUGUGGAGCAGUAAUGUAAUCGACUAUUAUCCCCUUUGGCUAAAAACUGUUCAUAUGGAAUCCACAGCCUGCAAAAUACAAUGCAAACACAUGCUAAUUACCUAUUUCCUGGGAUAAAAUAUGAUUAUAAAAAAUACUCUGUCAAGUAGACUGUAACUACAAAUACUGCAUUCCCAUACUUUGUCAGAGAACCCUUCUUAGAAGAUCUACUGCCUAUACCCUGAGGGCGUAAGUCCCACCGAACAAAUACAUCUUUUGGUAAUAUUUGAAAAUGUUAUUAUGGCCUGCCUUCUCAUUGUCCUUAAAAACAAACAAAUAAAACACAGUAGUUGUGUUCAGUCUAGUUUUGUGGUUGUCUUUAAUCCUUUUGUUGAUUCCUAUCUUUACCUGAAGUUGGUUUCAUUUUGUCUGUGCCAAAAGAUCUUUUUGAUUUUUAAGUCAAAUAUUGUAUGAAGUAGAAACAUGAUUGUGUGUUUUUUUGUAAUACUCUAUAUUUUUUUAAAAAAAGAGCAAUGAUUCAAUCUGCAACCUUUAUGUGUUGCUUAAAAGGAAUGAGGGCCAUCUGUUUGUCUGCUAUGAGGGUAAGGGAUUGAAGCAAUUUGUGGUUAAAUAAAUUAGGUGUGGAAUUGCUUUCUUUAUUGUUUCCACUGAACAAGUCUUUUCUAGCUUUUUUUUUCCUCUUUAAAUAAACUAUUGGAUUAGAGACCCCACUUCACUUAGACUAUGACAAGGCUAAACUAACAGUCAAUUUCCAAAUCACAAAUGGAUUUUGUCAUUAAAAUGUGUUUGCUAAGUUCUUUUGGUUCUGUGACCCACUAAUAAAUUUUUACAUAGAAAUGCAUUCCUAGAGUUCCUUCUGUGGCUCGGUAGUUAGUGAACCCAACUAGUAUCCAUGAGGAUGCAUGUUCAAUUCCUGGUCUCACUCAGUGGGUUAAGGCUCUGGCCUGGCUGUGAGCUGUGGUGUGGGUUGCAGAUGUGGCUCAAAUCCCAUGUUGCUUGGCUGUGGCUGUGGCUGUGGCAUGGGCUGGUAGCUUCAGCUCUGAUUGGACCCCUAGCCUGCAAAUCUCCAUAUGCCACAAGUGUGGCC